rnacentral:rRNA from 2 species
AGACCCGAAACCCGGUGAUCUAGCCAUGGGCAGGUUGAAGGUUGGGUAACACUAACUGGAGGACCGAACCGACUAAUGUUGAAAAAUUAGCGGAUGACCUGUGGCUGGGGGUGAAAGGCCAAUCAAACCGGGAGAUAGCUGGUUCUCCCCGAAAGCUAUUUAGGUAGCGCCUCGUGAAUUCAUCUCCGGGGGUAGAGCACUGUUUCGGCUAGGGGGCCAUCCCGGCUUACCAACCCGAUGCAAACUGCGAAUACCGGAGAAUGUUAUCACGGGAGACACACGGCGGGUGCUAACGUCCGUCGUGAAGAGGGAAACAACCCAGACCGCCAGCUAAGGUCCCAAAGUCAUGGUUAAGUGGGAAACGAUGUGGGAAGGCCCAGACAGCCAGGAUGUUGGCUUAGAAGCAGCCAUCAUUUAAAGAAAGCGUAAUAGCUCACUGGUCGAGUCGGCCUGCGCGGAAGAUGUAACGGGGCUAAACCAUGCACCGAAGCUGCGGCAGCGAACGUAUCACCCAAGACAACUUUACGGAGUUGACGAUUGACGGAGCGAAGCGACGUCAAAGCGUUCAUUAAAGUCGAGUUGGCUUAGGGAUACGUUCGUUGGGUAGGGGAGCGUUCUGUAAGC